rnacentral:rRNA from 1 species
UGCCAGCAGCCGCGGUAAUACGGAGGGUACAAACGUUGUUCGGAAUCACUGGGCAUAAAGCGCGCGUAGGCGGCUCGGUCAGUCAGAUGUGAAAUCCCCCGGCUCAACCGGGGAACUGCAUUUGAUACUGCCGAGCUUGAGAAAGGUAGGGGUAAGCGGAACUCCAGGUGGAGCGGUGAAAUGCGUAGAUAUCUGGAGGAACACCUGUGGCGAAAGCGGCUUACUGGACCUUUUCUGACGCUGAGGUGCGAAAGCGUGGGGAGCAAACAGGAUUAGAUA